rnacentral:rRNA from 1 species
GAUGAACGCUGGCGGCGUGCCUAAUACAUGCAAGUCGAGCGAACAGACGAGGAGCUUGCUCCUUUGACGUUAGCGGCGGACGGGUGAGUAACACGUGGGUAACCUACCUAUAAGACUGGGAUAACUUCGGGAAACCGGAGCUAAUACCGGAUAAUAUUUCGAACCGCAUGGUUCGAUAGUGAAAGAUGGCUUUGCUAUCACUUAUAGAUGGACCUGCGCCGUAUUAGCUAGUUGGUAAGGUAACGGCUUACCAAGGCAACGAUACGUAGCCGACCUGAGAGGGUGAUCGGCCACACUGGAACUGAGACACGGUCCAGACUCCUACGGGAGGCAGCAGUAGGGAAUCUUCCGCAAUGGGCGAAAGCCUGACGGAGCAACGCCGCGUGAGUGAUGAAGGUCUUCGGAUCGUAAAACUCUGUUAUUAGGGAAGAACAAACGUGUAAGUACCUGUGCACGUCUUGACGGUACCUAAUCAGAAAGCCACGGCUAACUACGUG